rnacentral:tRNA from 1 species
AAGGAUAAUCGGAAAGUGACAGUGCAUUAGAUUGCAAGUUCAAAUGUUCAAAGUUUUGUUUAGUUUUGAGUGUGGUACUGUAAUAGGUAUCAUGUUCAAAAGAUGAUCCUAUGGGGAAUUAGCUCAGCUGGGAGAGCACCUGCUUUGCAAGCAGGGGGUCAGCGGUUCGAUCCCGCUAUUCUCCAUAGGCAAUCGAAAGAUUGUCUUGGUUGUACAUUGAAAACUGAAUAGUAACAAAUUCUUUUAAAAGUAAUGGAAACAUUAUUCUAAAUUGAACCGAGAAACAACACAAAAAGAAGUUCUUUAAAAAGAACGGUUUAAUCGCAGGUCUGAAAAAUGACCAACUCAUAAAACGAAACCGCAACGCAAGUUGUAUA